rnacentral:rRNA from 1 species
UACGUAGGGUGCAGGCGUUAAUCGGAAUUACUGGGCGUAAAGCGUGCGCAGGCGGUCUCUUAAGACAGGUGUGAAAUCCCCCGGGCUUAACCUGGGAACUGCGCUUGUAACUGAGAGGCUUGAGUGUGCCAGAGGGGGGUGGAAUUCCACGUGGUAGCAGUGAAAUGCGUAGGAGAAUGUGGAGGAACACCGAUGGCGGAAAGGGACA